UCCUCCUGUGUGCGGCGCCGCCGCUGUGCACAGGCCACAUCUCCUCGCCCUCCUCGACAUCUCCGGCCAAGGCGCUCACUUCUCCGGCCCUCCUCCACAUCUCCUCGCCUCCACCCCAUCCACUUCCUGUCGAAGACUGCGGCAACGGAGCUCGGCGGCUGCGGCCCUUCUCCAAGACUGCAGCAUGGUGCUUGGCGGCUGCGGCAACGGAGCUGAUGGAGCGCGAGCCGACCAGUUCAACGGAGGCAGUAGCACGGGGCAGCGGCAGCAGCAUGGAGGGCGUCCGCUUGACUGGAAAGAGAAUGUAUUUGUUGAUAGUGAGAGUGAGGAUAAUGAUGGGGUGAGUGAGGAUGGGGAAGAUGCUCCAUCCAUGCAUGAUCAGCAAGAGGCGCAAAUGCAAGUGGAAAAAGAGACACAAAUUCAAAUGGAAAAGGACGCACCUCCAAGAGAUGGCAAUUUGGAGACCCGUAGAUCUGUACGGCUUGUCAAGAAGAAGACCAAGGGCGUCAACAGCCUAUACCCUGUUGCUUAGAAAUCUGUUGGCAAGUCUCUUCUUUCUAGUGUUUUAUGAUUCAUGAUAAUUGCUUAGAAAAUUUUAGUUACUUGGAGCUGCUAGUUUCUUAGAUGUAUACACUUUCUAUCCA
rnacentral:rRNA from 1 species